GACGAACGCUGGCGGCGUGCUUAACACAUGCAGGUCGAACGGAAAGGCCCUGCUUUUGUGGGGUGCUCGAGUGGCGAACGGGUGAGUAACACGUGAGUAACCUGCCCUUGACUUUGGGAUAACUUCAGGAAACUGGGGCUAAUACCGGAUAGGAGCUCCUGCUGCAUGGUGGGGGUUGGAAAGUUUCGGCGGUUGGGGAUGGACUCGCGGCUUAUCAGCUUGUUGGUGGGGUAGUGGCUUACCAAGGCUUUGACGGGUAGCCGGCCUGAGAGGGUGACCGGCCACAUUGGGACUGAGAUACGGCCAGACUCCUACGGGAGGCAGCAGUGGGGAAUAUUGCACAAUGGGCGGAAGCCUGAUGCAGCAACGCCGCGUGCGGGAUGACGGCCUUCGGGUUGUAAACCGCUUUCGCCUGUGACGAAGCGUGAGUGACGGUAAUGGGUAAAGAAGCACCGGCUAACUACGUG
rnacentral:rRNA from 1 species